GGGAUGGAAACCAUAUAUUCUAUGAGGGUGGGAACAAAUCUAACAAAUUUAAGACUCCUCAGCUAAUAUGGAAUACUUACCAUUGUUAUUAGGAUUCGAUGACGAUGAUUUUCGGUUUAAGAUUUAUGCCAAAAAAUUCUAACCUCUUUUCUUUAUCGCUUCUUCUUUUUUUCUUGAGCUUUUUGCGAAUAUAUAGUAACACUGAUGAAUCUAAUCCCAACUUCCGAUCUAAAGCAAGAUACAGGCUACGGAGCAAGGUUGUCAUGGAUAUAGAUAUGCGGUGGAAGUAAUAACGCGCUUAUCAUCGAUGGGGACGGUUCUUCCAGCCUUAGUUUAAAAUAUACGAAGUACGUUAUGAAUUGGGUGGUCAUAUGAGCGACGUCUUCCAAGAAUGAAUAUGUAUGUUAUCUUCUAACUUAAUGUCUCGGUUAGUAAAUGGAGUACAAUUAAGGAUGAUUUUGCGUAACUGAAAUUAUAGAAACCACCACCACAGCAUGAUUUUGUGUCUAACGACCUCUAACCGCACAGUCAUAACCGAACAUUAAAAACUUAUAAAAGUUGUUGUUGUAUCACGGGAUACUUCUAUUGUUUGCACUCCCACAUAUGGGGCUAAAAGUCAUCGUUAGGGUGAAUAAGCCAGCGAACAUGAGGCACUUAAGCUACAGUGGUCGAACGGCCGGAAUCACUACAGCAAACCCUCACAAGGUUAAUUCACGGUCUGGGGAGUUGCAUGGUAUCAAAUAUGGACUGUAGACACAAUUUUAAAAAAGGAGUUUUAAAUUUGAACCAUUGGAAGAAGAUCUGGAAUUUUAGUGUACUCACUGUUUAUUUUUUCAUUUUCCUGUCAAAUUGGUUCCACCUUAAUUAAGUAACUGACAUCAUCUUUGAAUUCAGUUACACUUCCGUUGUUCCGUAGGUAUUGCAGCCCCAUCAUGGCAUCACCACUGCAAUGGGUGCAACAUAACAUAACUGCAUUUAGUUAGUGUGCUUUUGUUUAAUAUUGUCGACAACAACACAGUGGUAUGGUUUGGCCUGGAAAUUUUCAUGUUGAUCAUCAUCAUUCCAACCAAGUGGAUCUCAAUAGUCAACCAUUAUCAUCAACUCGGCAAGAUUACAAAUAAAAUGCCUUUGUGCAUGACCAAGUGCUGGUAAGCUUAUAUUGUAAUUUCAAAUUUGCUAUAUGAUGACUUAAGGACCAUCAGUGUUUACUCACCAUAUAUCUUCAAUUCGGCCUUUCAUUUAGGUUACUCUUAUCUUCAAUUCGGCCUUUCAUUUAGGUUACUCUUAUUUUUGAUUUGUGUCUCUUCUCUGUUUCAAACUUCCUUAGGCUUCCACUGUAGGUGACAAAUUUGGUAAAGCCUAUAACAACUGUGAAGAACAUAGCGUUGUCAUUGAUAUUUUCUCUAGAUUUGUUAGCGAUGAGAAGCGAAUCAUACAACCUAUAUUUGAUGUUCUGGGUAUACGGUUCACACGGGAAGGCCGUGUUACUGUAGACCAGAGUAUCCUUCUGACACUGGGGUUCCCUGAGAUGUAUCAAAUAUAUGACCUUUGCUACUUGCAUGUGCAAGUAAAUAACACUUUAGAUUUACAUGCCGAUGAAAAUAUUUGUCUUCUUUCGUUGACUUGAAACCAACGGACCAUAGAGAAUAAUACUUUACAUGCAUAGAAUCAGUGAAUUGAUUUCUCUCUAAAUUUUGGAGGGGACAAGAUGACUUCCUUGGGUAUUAUUCAGGUACAAUAUCACUCUCAGUUCGUAAGCUUUUGUUUUCAAAGUAGAUUUUGUUUCUAUGAAGCUAGCAGUAUGUACUUGCCUAUAUUUGUCAUUUGUGUGUUUCUUGCCCACUGUGAUACAAAUAUAUACUAAAUAAUUAAGAAAGAGUCGUUAAGUAUUUUUUCGUCAAGUAUUAUAGAAUUGAUCGUUCCCACUACAUAUUAAUCCUGUAAUGCCAAUGAAUUUUCAUAGCCACUAAUUUAGGCUUCUUUUUUUUUCGACAUUUAUUACAUUUUCAAGUGGUUGGAAAUUGUCUAAUGUGGACAAAUUUAUUAAUUUUCAAGUGUUUGGAAACAGUUCAAGUGUUUGGAAACAUAUUUGUCUAAUGUGGACGGAUUGAUAUUCCACAGCACCCACCUCAAUACAGCACCAGUACCUACAUUAUUACAGAUGGGCGGCAAUGAAACUCUCUCUGUAUGGUGUUGGCAUGCAUGGUUUACAAUAGACAUGCAGAAGCUGUUAUUGUGCAGAUAUGCAGUUCUAGCAUGCACCAAAACAAGGGAAGAUUUGCCGAUUGCUUAGUAUCACUCCCAUGCACCAGGUCACUGAUGCCUUUCAAGGUCAAAAAGAAGGUAGUCGAAAAUUGCAUCUAUAGAAUUUCUUAGACUUUUGGUUCUACCAGUUAAAUAACCCUUUCUCACUUAGACCUCAAUUCUAUACAUGGUUCCUACAAUAAUGUUAUGUUGUUGUACAAUACUGAACAACGUAGUGAGCAUUUACCUCUAUUUGCAACGUAGUCGAAAAUUGCAUCUAUAGAAUUUCUUAGACUUU